rnacentral:lncRNA from 1 species
UUUUGAAUCAAACAUUGUUAAACAAGGAUUUUUCAAGACAUUCAAGAAUAGUGUUGUCAAUAAAAAAGAAUCGAUUCAUAAUUUCAUUUUGAACAGCAACUCUUCUCUUUUUAUUUUCCCUUCUACAAACAGGUUUCGUGUGCUUUGUCAUUCAAUAGUCCGGUCAAAAUAUUUUGAUUUAGGAAUGAUUGCAAUUAUAUUGGUUCGUUCAUUAGUGCUAGCAAUUGAAGAUCCAAUAAAUCUUGAUUCUUAUCUUAAUAAUAUUAGCAGAAAAUGUGAUUAUAUUUUUACAGCCAUUUUUGGAAUUGAGAUUUUUCUUAAG